rnacentral:rRNA from 1 species
UACGUAGGGUGCAAGCGUUAAUCGGAAUUACUGGGCGUAAAGCGUGCGCAGACGGUUGCGUAAGUCAGAUGUGAAAGCCCCGGGCUCAACCUGGGAAUUGCAUUUGAGACUGCGUAGCUAGGGUGCGGAAGAGGGAAGCGGGAAUUUCCGGUGUAGCGGUGAAAUGCGUAGAGUAUCGGGAAGAACACCCGUGGCGAAGG